rnacentral:rRNA from 1 species
UACGAAGGGGGCUAGCGUUGCUCGGAAUCACUGGGCGUAAAGCGCACGUAGGCGGAUCUUUAAGUCAGGGGUGAAAUCCCAAGGCUCAACCUUGGAACUGCCUUUGAUACUGGGGGAUCUCGAGUCCGGAAGAGGUGAGUGGAACUGCGAGUGUAGAGGUGAAAUUCGUAGAUAUUCGCAAGAACACCAGUGGCGAAGGCGGCUCACUGGUCCGGUAUGAC